rnacentral:rRNA from 1 species
AGCGAACGUUAGCGGCGGGCCUAACACAUGCAAGUCGCACGAGAAAGGGGGCUUCGGCUCCUGAGUAAAGUGGCGGACGGGUGAGUAACACGUGGGUAAUCUACCUUCCGGUGGGGGAUAACAGCCGAAAGGGUUGCUAAUACCGCAUCCGUCGGCGGAGGCCCCGGCCUCUGCCGGGAAAGGCGGCCUCUUCCUGAAAGCUGUCGCCGGAAGAUGGGCCCGCGGCCCAUCAGCUAGUUGGUAGGGUAACGGCCUACCAAGGCUCAGACGGGUAGCUGGUCUGAGAGGGUGAUCAGCCACACUUGGACUGAGACACGGCCCAGAAGCCUACGGGAGGCAGCAGUGGGGAAUAUUGGGCAAUGGGCGCAAGCCUGACCCAGCCACGCCGCGUGAGUGAUGAAGGCCUUCGGGUCGUAAAGCUCUGUGGGGAGGGACGAAUCAGCCUCGGGAGUAAUACCCCGGGGCCCUGACGGUACCUCCUUAGCAAGCACCGGCUAACUCCGUGCCAGCCGCCGCAGUAA